rnacentral:misc_RNA from 1 species
AAGUCGUAACAAGGUUUCCGCAGGUGAACCUGCGGAAGGAUCAUUACAGUGUUCCCUGCCCUUCGGGGUAGGAUCGCCACCCUUGAUUAUUUAUGAAUGUUGCUUUGGCGGGCCUCGCAGCCUAGCCGCGCCCCGGCUUCGGCGGGGGGAGCGCCCGCCAGAGGAUUCUACAAACCUGAUUAUUAGUGUCGUCUGAGUACUAUAUAAUAGUUAAAA